GAACAUAUCUCUGAUCAAUCCAAAGAACACAAAGUGCUGCCAUUUGAAAAGAGGGGAUCUACCACUAAAUGUCCAAAACAUUCCUCAAAGAUUUGUGAACUUUACUGUAAACAAUGCGUUGUUCCUAUUUGUGCACUCUGUGUUUCCUCCAAGAAACAUCACGCACAUGAUGUUGUUGACAUUGCGAAUGGUUUAGAGAGCCACAAACAUGACUUUCAGAAAGAUUUAAAAGAAUUAGAAGAUUUCCUUUAUCCUAAAUACCAGAAGAUUGCAUCUAACAUUGCAGUUCAGAAAUCUGAACUAAAUAAAAACUCUAAGAAAUUGACAUCAGCAAUAGACAAACAAGGAGAAGUCUGGCACAGAGAAAUAGACACCAUUAUACAGAAACUGAAAUCUGAUCUUGAUGAAAUGGACGCCCAACACCUGGUUGUCUUCAACAAACAGGAAGAUGAAAUCACACACACCAUUUCUGAAAUCACACAGAGCAUUGCAGAUCUGAAGAAGUUACUGGACUCCAAUGAUGUCAGCCGUGUCUCUGCCUACAAAUCCAGGAUUGCUGAAUUCAGAAGAUUGCCUCCUAAACUAACAGUUUCUCUACCAAGCUUCACCCCUCAGAAAAUUAACCCAGAACAACUUUACCAACAAUUUGGUUCCCUGUCAGCAUUCUCCAUUACAACAGAGGAACAUGGCUACACCAUGGAAACCUCAGAAGCUGGAUCCUCUCCUCUCAAACUACUGGUUGAUAAGCCACGGGUCAUCGCCACCAUACAGACACGGUAUAAACAUUAUCUAACCAGUGUUACUUGUCACAGUGAUGAAGAAAUCUGGACGUGUAGUUAUAUUAAUGAGAUGAUGAGUCUCUACAACCUGCAGGGAGAACUAGUGAAGUCAGUCCAAACCAAGUCAGGGGACAGUGUAUACGACAUAGCAGUGACAAGGAGUGGGGAUCUAGUUUAUACUGAUAACAGAGAUAGAACUGUGAACUUAGUGAAGAAUACACAGAUACAGACAGUGAUCAGACUAUGGGGGUGGAGACCUCGCAAUGUCUGUAGUACCUCCUCUGGUGACCUCCUGGUUGUCAUGUACAGUGAUGAUAUACAAACAAAAGUUGUGUGUUAUUCUGGCUCCACAGAGAAACAAAGUAUUCAGUACGACGACAAAGGACAACCUCUCUAUUCAUCUGGUGGCAUUAAAUACAUCAGUGAGAACAGGAACCUAGAUAUCUGUGUGUCAGACCGUGGAGCCUGUGCAGUAGUGGUGGUCAAUCAGGCCGGGAAACUCCGGUUUACCUACACUGGUCCUCCCUCUACUACCAAGGGAUCAUUUAGUCCACGCGGCAUCACAACAGACAGCCAGGGUCGGAUCCUGACAGCAGACUGUAACAACCACCGUAUCCACAUCCUGGAUCAGGACGGACAGUUCCUCCGCUACAUUGACAACUGUCAUUUACAGAGUCCAUGGGGUUUAUGUGUGGACACCAGAGACAUCCUCUUUGUGACUGAACACGGCACAGGUAAAGUGAAGAGAAUACAAUAUCUGAUGUAAACAAACUUUGGUGUUUUGUAUGUAAACAAACUGUGUAUGUAUUAUAUGUAAACAAACUGUGUGUGUGUAUUAUAUGUAAACAAACUGUGUGUGUGUAUUAUAUGUAAACAAACUGUGUGUAUGUAUUAUAUGUAAACAAAUUGUGUAUGUAUUAUAUGUAAACAAACUGUGUGUAUGUAUUAUAUGUAAACAAACUGUGUGUAUGUAUUAUAUGUAAACAAACUGUGUGUAUGUAUUAUAUGUAAACAAACUGUGCGUGUGUAUUAUAUGUAAACAAACUGUGUGUGUAUUAUAUGUAAACAAACUGUGCGAGUGUGUAUUAUAUGUAAACAAACUGUGUGUAUGUAUUAUAUGUAAACAUACUGUGCGUGUGUAUUAUAUGUAAGACAGUGUGUAUAUUACAUGUACAUAUGUUAUAAUAAAUAUAUCAAACAA
rnacentral:sRNA from 1 species